AGGGACUGGAACCCAAGGCUAAUGGAAAUGGAGAGGCAGAAGAGAUGGAAUGUAGUAGGAAAACUUUCUGACUGCCCAGUGUGGUUCUGCUGUUCCGUGGCCCUUCCCCAGCCCAGUGGGAGCUGCUUCACCCUGUAGAAAAGGAACUCGACCACAAGUCCCCACAGCUCUGAGCCAGCUUCAUCCUCCCCAAUGCUCACUCCAUCUUUGCUUGCUAUGUAUCGCACCCUCCUGCACAAGUCCAGCCUCUUCCUUAUAGACGCAUGUUAUUGACAUCUCAGGAUGCCUCUGGGGUCCCCCGGCUUCCUGAGUUGUGAUGCAGUGAAUCUUUAUUGCUGCAGAUCCAGAGAGGAUGUCAUGGGACAUAGAGGGCACAAAGAAGUGCGGGCUGAUGAGUUCACCUUCAAGCUCACUGAGACUCCUGGUUGGAACAGAGAAGGGACUCAGACAUUUCUGUAAAGGAUGGAGGAAAACUUUGAAUGUCAAGCAAAGGAGUUUAGACGUGAAAAAUCUUAAAAUCCGGAGGACACCACGAGAGCAGAGCCAUGCUUCAAAGGAUUUUAGUUUGAUUCAGCUACUGAGUGGCACUCCUAUGAGAUCUGGAAGGCAGAAGAGAA
rnacentral:lncRNA from 1 species